UACAGAGGGUGCGAGCGUUAAUCGGAAUUACUGGGCGUAAAGAGCUCGUAGGUGGUUUGUCGCGUCGUCUGUGAAAUUCCGGGGCUUAACUUCGGGCGUGCAGGCGAUACGGGCAUAACUUGAGUGCUGUAGGGGAGACUGGAAUUCCUGGUGUAGCGGUGGAAUGCGCAGAUAUCAGGAGGAACACCGAUGGCGAAGGCAGGUCUCUGGGCAGUAACUGACGCUGAGGAGCGAAAGCAUGGGGAGCGAACAGG
rnacentral:rRNA from 1 species